GAUGAAGAACGCAGCGAAAUGCGAUAAGUAAUGUGAAUUGCAGAAUUCAGUGAAUCAUCGAAUCUUUGAACGCACCUUGCGCUCCUUGGUAUUCCAAAGAGCAUGCCUGUUUGAGUAUCAUUAAAUUAUCAACUGUACCAAUUUGGUUGCAGAUUGGAUGUGGGAGAUUUUGCAGGCUUUUGAUUUCUCUUUGAGAAAACGGUCAGCUCUCCUGAAAUAUAUUAGCAGUGCCUUUGUUGGUUCAUUAGGUGUGAUAAUUUAUCUACAUCUUCACAUGGUACCUUCAUUUGUGUAAAGGUCAUAUUGCUUCUAAUUGUCUUUGGACAUAAAAAAAAAAAAAACAUAUAAUUGUAUGGAAAACUUGAUCUCAAAUCAGGCAGGACUACCCGCUGAACUUAAGCAUAUCAAUAAGCGGAGGA
rnacentral:misc_RNA from 1 species